GCCCAGAUGGCGGAACUGGUAGACGCGGUAGACUCAAAAUCUGCUAACCUUAUGGUUGUGUGGGUUCAAGUCCCACUCUGGGUA
rnacentral:tRNA from 1 species